AUUGAACGCUGGCGGCAUGCCUUACACAUGCAAGUCGAACGGUAACAGGUCUUCGGAUGCUGACGAGUGGCGAACGGGUGAGUAAUACAUCGGAACGUGCCCGAUCGUGGGGGAUAACGGAGCGAAAGCUUUGCUAAUACCGCAUACGAUCUACGGAUGAAAGCAGGGGACCGCAAGGCCUUGCGCGGACGGAGCGGCCGAUGGCAGAUUAGGUAGUUGGUGGGAUAAAAGCUUACCAAGCCGACGAUCUGUAGCUGGUCUGAGAGGACGACCAGCCACACUGGGACUGAGACACGGCCCAGACUCCUACGGGAGGCAGCAGUGGGGAAUUUUGGACAAUGGGCGAAAGCCUGAUCCAGCCAUGCCGCGUGCAGGAUGAAGGCCUUCGGGUUGUAAACUGCUUUUGUACGGAACGAAAAGACUCUUUCUAAUAAAGAGGGUCCAUGACGGUACCGUAAGAAUAAGCACCGGCUAACUUCGUGCCAGCCGCCGCAGUAAAAC
rnacentral:rRNA from 1 species